rnacentral:tRNA from 1 species
UGAGAUGUAGCUCAGAGGUAGAGUGCUUGCCUAGCAUGCAAGAAGCCCCAGGGUGGAUCCCAGCACUGCAA